rnacentral:rRNA from 1 species
AUACGGAGGGUGCGAGCGUUAUCCGGAUUUAUUAGGUUUAAAGGGUGUGUAGGCGGGAGCCUAAGUCAGUGGUGAAAUCUCACAGCUUAACUGUGAAACUGCCAUUGAAACUGGGUUUCUUGAGUAUAGUUGAGGUAGGCGGAAUGUGUAAUGUAGCGGUGAAAUGCAUAGAUAUUACACAGAACACCGAUUGCGAAGGCAGCUUACUAAGCUAUUCCUGACGCUGAUGCACGAAAGCGUGGGUAGCGAACAGGAUUAGAAACCCUAGUAGUCC